rnacentral:rRNA from 1 species
GACGAACGCUGGCGGCGUGCCUAAUACAUGCAAGUUGAGCGCUGAAGGUUGGUACUUGUACCAACUGGAUGAGCAGCGAACGGGUGAGUAACGCGUGGGGAAUCUGCCUUUGAGCGGGGGACAACAUUUGGAAACGAAUGCUAAUACCGCAUAAAAACUUUAAACGCAAGUUUUAAGUUUGAAAGAUGCAAUUGCAUCACUCAAAGAUGAUCCCGCGUUGUAUUAGCUAGUUGGUGGGGUAAAGGCUCACCAAGGCGAUGAUACAUAGCCGACCUGAGAGGGUGAUCGGCCACAUUGGGACUGAGACACGGCCCAAACUCCUACGGGAGGCAGCAGUAGGGAAUCUUCGGCAAUGGACGAAAGUCUGACCGAGCAACGCCGCGUGAGUGAAGAAGGUUUUCGGAUCGUAAAACUCUGUUGGUAGAGAAGAACGUUGGUGAGAGUGGAAAGCUCAUCAAGUAACGGUAACUACCCAGAAAGGGACGGCUAACUACGUG